CAAAAGGACAUUAUUGCAAACCAGCACUGGAGCAACUCUGAAAGAAGAUAAAAGUACAUGAAGAAAUCGUUUGCAGGCACUGGACAAAAAAGAGUACAAAGCUAUAAUCUUGAGAGCAGGAAACACACAGUGCAGCCAUCCAGCCCAGAACACAACAAGAAUAGAGUUGAUGAGCCCUCUUUUCCUCAACAAACACCUGUGAUGAGAACAUUGAGGCAAGGGAACAGGUGGCCAAAAAUACCCUCAUAGCCUUGAGAAAGUCCAUCUUGAUGUUAUCCAGUGAAACUUAAUGGCAACACAGGAGCCAGGGAGCCUGCUUUAUUUUGGAAAUGAAAAAGUCAGUACGGUUGAUGAGAAUUUGAAGAGAAAAGACACAACAAAGUAGAAGGCUAACACCAA
rnacentral:lncRNA from 1 species